CCUACGGGAGGCAGCAGUAGGGAAUUUUCGGCAAUGGGGGGAACCCUGACCGAGCAACGCCGCGUGAACGAAGACGUUAUUCGUAAUGUAAAGUUCUUUUAACAGGGAAGAAAGAGAAAUUUGACGGUACCUGAAGAAUAAGCUCCGGCUAACUACGUGCCAGCAGCCGCGGUAAUACGUAGGGAGCGUGCGUUAUCCGGAAUUAUUGGGCGAAAAGGGUGCGUAGAUGGCAUAGUAAGUCUUUUGUAAAAAUGCUGGGCUCAACCCAGUAGGGCAAAAGAUACUGCAAAGCUAGAGUAUGACAGAGGCAAGUGGAACUACAUGUGUAGCGGUAAAAUGCGUAAAUAUAUGUAAGAACACCAGUGGCGAAGGCGGCUUGCUGGGUCGAUACUGACAUUGAGGCACGAAAGCGUGGGGAGCAAACAGGAUUAGAUACCCUAGUAGUC
rnacentral:rRNA from 1 species